UGCAAUCUAUGAUGAAAAUGAAUAAUCAAACCUGAUUUAUGUUAUGAUGGUUAUAUAAAUAAUCACCAUCUUUCGGCUGAGAUUGCU
rfam:Gossypium hirsutum cultivar TM-1 unplaced genomic scaffold scaffold1418.1, whole genome shotgun sequence